AUAUUGAAGAUAGAGAUUCAAAGCAAAUCCCUCACUAUACAAUUUUUUCAUCUACUGUAAUCACAAAGCCUAUCGCAUAACCCACCAUAUGAGACACAACAAAACUCACCGAGCAGCAGAGAUCGGGAGCUCCUGAAACCUGUCGCCACCACCGUUGACCAUGACGGCGGCGCGUCGUCGUCAAAACCCUCGCCGGCGUCCAGUUCACCGUCGCAUAACUCCGGCCGUGAGUUGGUAGAAGUUGCGAAAGAUGCGAAAACGACAAAGGAUCCGACAUACGCUAAAAUAUUGAGUUCUACGUUGACUUCGAUAUUGGGUUGGGCUGAACAAAGACUUCUUGUGUAUCAUGAUACAUUUGAUAACGUAAACAUUAAUUCUAUGCAAAGUAUUGUGUCUUUAGGGGUAUCAGCUGCUAAAAUAUUGGUUGAAGAUAUAUCUAAUGAGUAUCG